AAUGCCGGAUGCUCCAGUUGAUCGCAUGGUCUUCUGGGAAAGCUUUCGCGGUAUGGGAUGGGGUCGCGUCCUAUCAGCUUGACGGCGGGGUAACGGCCCACCGUGGCUUCGACGGGUAGCCGGCCUGAGAGGGCGACCGGCCACAUUGGGACUGAGAUACGGCCCAGACUCCUACGGGAGGCAGCAGUGGGGAAUAUUGCACAAUGGGCGCAAGCCUGAUGCAGCGACGCCGCGUGAGGGAUGGAGGCCUUCGGGUUGUAAACCUCUUUUAUCGGGGAGCAAGCGAGAGUGAGUUUACCCGUUGAAUAAGCACCGGCUAACUACGUGCCAGCAGCCGCGGUAAUACGUAGGGUGCAAGCGUUAUCCGGAAUUAUUGGGCGUAAAGGGCUCGUAGGCGGUUCGUCGCGUCCGGUGUGAAAGUCCAUCGCUUAACGGUGGAUCCGCGCCGGGUACGGGCGGGCUUGAGUGCGGUAGGGGAGACUGGAAUUCCCGGUGUAACGGUGGAAUGUGUAGAUA
rnacentral:rRNA from 2 species